GCUUACGGCUAUACCACCCUAUCUGCGCACAGCCUCGUCUGAUCUCGGAAGCUAAGCAGGGUCUUGCCUGGUUAGUACUUGGAUGGGAGACUGCCUGGGAAUAGCAUGUGCUGUAAGCU
rnacentral:rRNA from 1 species